GCUGGGCAUGGUCGCAUAUGCCUGUAAUCCCAGCUACUGGGAGGCUGAGGUAGGAGGAUCACUUGAACCUGGGAGGUUGAGACUGCAGUGAGCCAUGAUUGUGCCCACUGCACUCCAGCCUGAGCGACAAAGUGAGACACUAUCUCUA
rfam:Pan troglodytes isolate Yerkes chimp pedigree #C0471 (Clint) chromosome 6, whole genome shotgun sequence.